rnacentral:rRNA from 1 species
GGAUGAACGCUGGCGGCGUGCCUAAUACAUGCAAGUCGAACGCUGAAGGAGGAGCUUGCUCUUCUGGAUGAGUUGCGAACGGGUGAGUAACGCGUAGGUAACCUGCCUGGUAGCGGGGGAUAACUAUUGGAAACGAUAGCUAAUACCGCAUGACAACAGUUAUUGCAUGAUAACUGUUUAAAAGGGGCAACUGCUCCACUACCAGAUGGACCUGCGUUGUAUUAGCUAGUUGGUGAGGUAACGGCUCACCAAGGCGACGAUACAUAGCCGACCUGAGAGGGUGAUCGGCCACACUGGGACUGAGACACGGCCCAGACUCCUACGGGAGGCAGCAGUAGGGAAUCUUCGGCAAUGGACGGAAGUCUGACCGAGCAACGCCGCGUGAGUGAAGAAGGUUUUCGGAUCGUAAAGCUCUGUUGUAAGAGAAGAACGAGUGUGAGAGUGGAAAGUUCACACUGUGACGGUAUCUUACCAGAAAGGGACGGCUAACUACGUG